ACACGAGGUGCCCUGAGUGUUUCGUGGCGGGGCGCGGUUUCACACGCGCGGUCUGCGGCGGGAAGGCCUGGGAGAGCCCGUGGGCCGCGGUAACGACAGCAAACGGCAGUCCACAGGCCUCCGCCGGCGUGUUGCACCGCCGUCCGCAGCGGGCGGUAGCCCAGGGCCUCCGGACGGCUGUACUCCUGCGAGCUUCCGCGGGGAUCAGCUGGUGGUUUACACCUCUGGCCGCCCCAGACUGUUUCUUCAAUUUAUCAGAAUAAUUAUGAGUCCUGUCUUGAAUGACUUAAGGAAGGGAAGGGCAAUGGAAAGCACAAUGAGGCACACUGGAAAGGAGGUGAAGGUAAGCUGGCAGGGUUCCAUGUCCCAGGUUCUCCCCUUUCUUCUUCCCUGGUUUAAAGAGUUUGGAAAUCCCAGUGUGUUGCCAGAACAAAAAUGACCUAAACCUGGCCCUAUGGCUGCAAAAGUCACAGAGGAGAUACAGGUAGGCAAAGAAGAAAAGAAACCCCUAGAUACCACAGGAGGGAAUGUUGUAAUGCCCUCUCCUUUUGUUUGUGAUUUGGUCUCACUUUGGCAUUGAUGUCAAACUCUACCAUAGGUAUUUGCCUUUGGCCCUAAAGGAGCUGUCAUAAUCACAGAACAGUAAUAGCUUUGCACGGGACUUCAUUGUUGUCACACUAACAUGCAACACACAUUAGCACAUGAACCCAGUGAUGUGCUUUUUGUGAUGACCUGGACAAAAAUAAAAAUAUGACUAGAUAAUGUGACAAUGUAUUAAAAAAACAUCUGUAAGGUCAAGUAUUGGAUCCUCUUCAAAAAAACAGAUAAUGUUGAUCAUAAUUUCGUACAUUUACCAAGAUUCUGUGCACCUCAUGAAUCACUGCAGUUCCAGAGAAGAGUCCUUUAGAAGCUGAAUAUCAGUUACAGCCAUUUAUUGCACAUUGAGGAACAAAUUGAAGAGAAAGGCAGGAAAUUAGGAGACAUCUGAGUACCCAUGAGUAUUAUAUGUAUGAUUGCAUACAUACAUUUUAAAUUGCUGUAUGAUAUGUUCUAAUAAUAAGUCAUCUUAGGAAGAUCUUAGAAGAAAUAUAGGCAGAAAGAUAUUCUCUGUGUGCUGAUGAAGCGAUGCUGAUUUAGCAUGGAUACUUGAGCAGGUACUAAAUAUAAUCAAGUUUUAUGCAAAUCAAAGCCCCAGUCAGCACUUCAGUGACAACUGAGAAGAACUUAUUUUCCGAAUAACACUCACUUCCAAGUCCAGCAUGCUGUUAUCAAACUAACUAAGGUUUACUUUGUGCAAAAAAGAAGCUAUCAAUAGGAGCACCGUAUCACACUACCAGCUAUCAUCUGACUUCUGUUUACUAUUACCUUCAGUUAAAAGGAAGUCACUGCGAUUUAUGUAAUUUUAUUUGAAUGGAUAAAACAUUUCUGUUGGGAAGAAAUACAUGUGAAAAGACAAAUGCAGGUCACUUGUGAGUAUAUUGAGCACAGUAUGCUACCGGGUAUCUUAAAACUGACGGGUAUUAAUUGUAAGUAUUAAUUAUAACUUACUACUGAGAAGCUUUAAAUAACAUUUUCUUAAGCCGAUUCUUUUCUAUGACAUAUGUAUUGCAGUCAAUGAGCUGUACAGCUGAUGUUAAAUGAAAGUCAGAGUGUGUCGUGUGGGAUGUUUUGGGGAGUGCAUCAGGUUGGUUUGAAAUUUUUUGGUGAUUGUAAAUGGGAACUUUCCUUGAAUGACAGAAUAAAAAAUGGUCAGCAUCGUUUUGUCAAAGAGUAAGCUAUUUUCCUAAUGUUAUUUAAACAUAUUCUUUGACCAGAAGAGGUUAUUUUGGCAGCAAAAUCCAUUAAUUGAGGAAAUAAAAGGGAAGUAAAGAAUUUGUUUCCAAAAUUCAAUUAAGAGAAGAGAAGUAACAUCUGAACAAAUUCACCCUAGUAAUAAAUACACUAAGUAUAAAUCUCCUAGGUGUUUUAUGGUAAAUAAUAACUUAAGGUAGUCACUAGGGAUAUCCCUGUAUUACUCCAGCUUUAGUAACGGUGAAAUGUCAUCUGUUUUUAACAGAAAGGUGCAUUAAAGGAAAAUAAAGCUGUUAGAAAAUAUAUCCUGGAUGACAUUCAUGGCCCCAGUGAACUGUGUUAAGGCACUGCAGUAAUUAAAAAUUCACUUCAGAGGAGCUUAUUAUUCCUUGAUUCAUAGUUACCCUGUCUAUCAAGAGCCUCCUGGACCCAGGCCUUAUGAAAACAUGAUGCCUCCAUUAGUUACUAGAUUUCUGACUUAAAUCUUCAAAAAAGAUGUAAAACUUUUCCAAACCAUGCAGAUAAAAAACAUGAAUAAAAAAAAUUUAGGGAGCAUUUAGAAAUAAAAUAAUUAAUCCACAGUGGUUGCUUUCAAAAAUUUAGCAGCUAUGCCAAUAUAAAAGAAAAUUCCUCAUUGACUUAUGUGCCAGGUUUUUAAUAUCUAAUAUUUAGUUAACCAGAAAUCGUUACAAUUUUACCAUUUCUAAUAUCCUAUUAGUAAUACUGAGGAGAGAAGUUAAUUGUGUUAAGAAAAUACACUUUUCUGUUAGAAGGGCUUGAGAAACUGGCAAUGAAAUAAACAUAGUUGGAUAACGUUUUACUCUGUUCCAUCGUAGCUGCUACUACUCAAGUAAAUGGAAAUGGUAUCAGAAAAAUGGUGACGUUCUCAUAUUAAUAUGCAGUUAAUAUUCUUAAGGACUACAUUGUGGAUCACAGCAGUAUAACUCUGUUGUACUCCUGGCAGUGAUUCCUGUUUGUUUUGGGUUGGGUUUAUUUUUGCAUUUGAGAGGGUAUUAAUAACAGCAAAUUUGAUUCAGUUAAUGCUAACUUUUCCUGCAGUUGAGGACUUGUGGCUCUGGUCGUUAAAAAACAGCUAAAGUGUUGUUCCACUGUAAACUGGAAGGAUCUCAUGCCUCAUAAAAUGGACCAUUUUCAACUGCCCCAGGAAGUGUUGGAAGAUACUAUUCUUGUUUUACAAUAGCUAAAUAUGACUUUGGUCAGUUUUGCCCAGUGUUUUUCUGAUUACACCAGCUGGACAAUACUUCCUUGACAUGCAAAUGGUAAACUGAAGACCAACUGGUGGUUUUUAAUGUCAGCAGA